UUUUAAGUCUAAGUGAAUCCUGUGUAAUGUUUGGGACACACUCAUACUAAAA
rnacentral:pre_miRNA from 1 species